UUGUGGAGGAGGACGCCGAAGGUGGGGCUAAUGACUGGGGUGAAGUCGUAACAAGGUAGCCGUACCGGAAGGUGCGGCUGGAUCACCUCCUAACAGGGAGACAACAAAAUGUUAAAUAUUAAUUUUGUCACCUUAGGUCGAUCGGUAUCUCAGAUUCUUUUUUAAUGAAGAAUUUCAGUUUCUAAGUUUUUUCUAGGUCACACCCAUUACUUUUUCCUGGGCCAUUAGCUCAGGUGGUUAGAGCGCACCCCUGAUAAGGGUGAGGUCCCUGGUUCAAGUCCAGGAUGGCCCAUAUCUCUAUGUUGGGGGUAUAGCUCAGUUGGUAGAGCGCCUGCUUUGCAAGCAGGAUGUCAGCGGUUCGAGUCCGCUUACCUCCACUGAAUACCACCUCUUACAUAAUAUAAAUACGGAAAUUGUCUUGAGAUGUGACUUCACUCUGAUUGAAUCUAGCUUCCUAAUACAUUUUAAUUUUAUUAAGAUGCUGGACUCAUUGAAUAUUAUUCUUUGUUUUCAGAGAACCUUGACAACUGCAUAGAUUAUUUUAAAGACAAUAAGCAUCUUUAUAUGAUGCAGAUUUUUAUUUGUGCUAUAUGCAUUAAUAACAAUUCUAUUGAGCUGAUGCUUCAAUUUUUGAAGUUAUUGGUCAAGCUACAA
rnacentral:misc_RNA from 1 species